rnacentral:rRNA from 1 species
GGGGCCUACGGGAGGCAGCAGUAAGGAAUAUUGGGCAAUGGAGGAAACUCUGACCCAGCGACGCCGCGUGAGGGAUGAAGGCCUUCGGGUUGUAAACCUCUUUCAGUAGGGAAGAAGCGAAAGUGACGGUACCUACAGAAGAAGCACCGGCUAACUAUGUGCCAGCAGCCGCGGUAAUACGGAGGGUGCAAGCGUUAUCCGGAAUCAUUGGGUUUAAAGGGUCCGCAGGCGGAUUUAUAAGUCAGUGGUGAAAUCCUAUCGCUUAACGAUAGAACUGCCAUUGAUACUGUAAGUCUUGAAUUCGGUCGGAGUGGGCGGAAUGUGUAGUGUAGCGGUGAAAUGCAUAGAUAUUACACAGAACACCGAUAGCGAAGGCAGCUCACUAGGCCUGAAUUGACGCUCAGGGACGAAAGCGUGGGGAUCAACCAGGAUUAGAUACCCUGGUAGUCCACGCUGUAAACGAUGAUUACUCGUUUUCGGCGAUAUACAGUCGGAGACUAAGCGAAAGUGAUAAGUAAUCCACCUGGGGAGUACGAUCGCAAGGUUGAAACUCAAAGGAAUUGACGGGG